CUUACGGGAGGCAGCAGUUAGGGGACUUGUGCAUGGGGGAAACCUGACACAGCAACGCCGCGUGAGGGAUGAAGCCUUCGGGUUGUAAAGCUCUUUCAGCCGGAAAGAAAACGCACGGGUUAAUACCUUGUGUGGAUGACGGUACCGGAAUAAGAAGCACCGGCUAACUACGUGCCAGCAGCGGCGGUAU
rnacentral:rRNA from 1 species